AGUUAAAUAGCCAGGAAAGGCCUAAUGUCUUGAAAACAUUAAGAAAGAGGUUUGAUUCUUCUGUUAACUU
rnacentral:tRNA from 1 species